CUUGGAUCUUUGAUUUUUUAUUUCUUUUUUGGCUAAAAUUCGGUGAGAUUAAUAGUUUCGUCGCGGAAGGCCGAAACCCUAGCAAGCCACCCCAAAUUCGAUUCGAUUCGAUAAGAUUAAGAAGGCUAGCCCGAUCCAAGAAGAGAAGGAAGAAGCGAUGUCGUCGUCUCGGAACCCUAAUCCUCCUCCCGGAUCCUCCUCCUCGGGGACCAAUUACUUCCCUCUCCCCUUCCAUCUGCAGCAGCAACCGCCGCAGCCGCCGCCGAUGGCGAUGGCGAGCACCUACCAGUACCAGCAGUACCAGCAGCUGCAGCAGGCGCAGCAGCUCUUCCAACGCGACGCGCAGACCAUCACCCCCGAGGCGCUCGAGAGCGUCAAGGCCGCCCUCGCCACCAGCGACGUCCUCGACCCCGCCAAUGCCAGAGCCACCGCAACCUCCUCCUCCGACCCUGCCGCCAAGAAGAAAGCCAUCCCCCGCCGCGCCGCCGGCCAAUCCUGGGAGGAUCCCACCCUCACCGACUGGCCCGACAAUGACUAUCGCUUAUUUUGUGGAGAUCUGGGCAAUGAAGUCAAUGACGACGUCCUCUCAAAAGCUUUUUCACGGUUCCCCUCCUUCAACAUGGCAAGGGUUGUUCGAGAUAAGAGAACUGGCAAAACAAAAGGAUAUGGAUUUGUGAGCUUUUCAAACCCUACUGACCUUGCUGGAGCAAUUAAAGAAAUGAAUGGUUUGAAGUACCCAACUUGUUCAAUUACUGCCAUUGUUCAGCUUCGUUUUUGUACUGCUACCUUAUUACUUUUGACACUAUUGCAGGGAAGUAUGUUGGGAACCGCCCUAUUAAAUUGCGUAAAAGCAAUUGGAAAGAGAGGACCGAUGUUGAUGCUCUAGAAAGACAGAAGAAUCACAUCCAGAAGAAACCUAAAAUGCCCAAGAAAAGUAUCCUUCACAAGUAAAGCUAUAUUAGCCCUACUAAGCGCCAUCCAUGUAAACAUACUUUGUUGGGUGAUGGGGCUCAAGAAAACUACUCUUACUGCAAAGGUUGUGGACCAGGGAGGGUGUACAUUUGACUGCAGCUGUCUGUUAGCAGAGUGGUGCGUCGCUUCUAAGCAAUUUUUCUUCUUACGACAAGCUGAUGUUUACAUCUGCAGGAAGUUUGUUAAAGCUGAAGCUAGUUUUGCUGAUGUUUACUGAGAAUGACUCCCUAGAAUGGAUGGUUUGCUUAAGGUGGUAAUGAUGUGUAUUUAGAUAUGGCAUUUGCAUUUAAGGAUGGCAUUGCAAUGUAAUAAAGAUGUUGUUGGUAUUGUA